AUCUCAAGAUGACGUGGCGUAUG
rnacentral:siRNA from 1 species